CCUACGUGAGGCUGCAGUAGGGAAUAUUGCUCAAUGGGGGAAACCCUGAAGCAGCAACGCCGCGUGGAGGAUGAAGGUUUUCGGAUUGUAAACUCCUUUUGUUAGAGAAGAUAAUGACGGUAUCUAACGAAUAAGCACCGGCUAACUCCGUGCCAGCAGCCGCGGUAAUACGGAGGGUGCAAGCGUUACUCGGAAUCACUGGGCGUAAAGGGCGCGUAGGCGGGAUAGCAAGUCAGAUGUGAAAUCCUAUGGCUUAACCAUAGAACUGCAUUUGAAACUGUUAUUCUAGAGUAUGGGAGAGGUAGGUGGAAUUCUUUGUGUAGGGGUAAAAUCCGUAGAGAUCAAGAGGAAUACUCAUUGCGAAGGCGACCUGCUAGAACAUAACUGACGCUGAUGCGCGAAAGCGUGGGUAUCGAACAGGAUUAGAUACCCUUGUAGUC
rnacentral:rRNA from 1 species